rnacentral:lncRNA from 1 species
AUGGGUCUGCCUGGGGCCACGGAUCUCUCGUCCUCCAGGUCACACUGGGAGGACGAGAUGUUUGUGGCUGGAGACACACGCUCUGAGGACAUUGCGGGUACCACCGGGUCACUGUGUGCCGAAGCACAUCUAGUCUCCCAGCCCUCCGAGGGCAAAGGCUGGAUCUCCGCUGGAGCAGAUGGCGUCUCAGAACACCCGGAGACAACAUAUUUUCGGGGGGGUGGCAGCCUCUCUCGCUAUAUUCUAGGCACUACAACAGGCUUACUUUCUGGGGAAGGACUUCUAAACACACGAUCCUCGCUGGAGGAAAUGCUGAUGGCAGGAGACCCGCUCUCUGAGAACAUUCCAGGUGCUGCAGGUGCGCUCUCUGUGGAAGCAGAUCUAGUCUCGGGACACUGGGACGACAAGCUCCUCUUGACAGGAGACAAGCUCUCUGGGAACACUGGAACACAAGCCUCCAGAGAAGCAUAAAAAGGUAACUAGCAAGGAGAAAGUGUGGGGCUUUUGCCCCCUGUCUUAAGGUUCUGUUGGCGCCCCUGGAAUCAGCCACCCCCCACCGCACCCACAGAAGCCUCUUCCUGGCCUUCCUUCCCGGCCAAAGCAACAAAGCCGGCAUGCAGAGAGACAGCCACAGCCGCCACCGCCACCACCACCAGCAGCACCACCAAAACUACCAGCUCCUUUGCCGCCGUCCCUGCUGGACAAGGCUUGCUUUGAAACCUCCUGUGCCAGAGGAGACCUUUGCCUUGCUCUACCCACAUGCCAGCGUGUCUAGUCCUACCUCGUGCGCUUCAUGUCUGACCCAGGUCCAGAUGUGUCUGUCACCUGUGGCUGUGUCCAAUUCUGGCCGCCUAGCUUGUAUCGGCACGGUUUCUUUCUUCAUGACCUGCCAUGGCCCAGCUUUCUGCCCCUGGCAGCAGUGUGGUUCUCCUCCUGCUCUCACAUCUCUGCUCUUGCUCCCUCCUGAAGCUAAACCUUGUACCUACCCCCUCUUUCCAUGGCCACUGCCCCCUUCCUGCCACUUUCCCACUCUUCCCAAGUCCUUGGUCCAAUCUGCAUUCUGAUGACAUUGGCCCUCCCCAAGCUUGAGGCCCCCUACGGCCCCCCAUGAUCCUACAGCCAAUGAUCUGGCCCUUUACUGCUUGAAGGAGGUCUUUACCUUGGAAUCUGUAAAGUUCUCCCUCCUCCUCGAGAGGUCCAUUACCAUAGAUGGUUGUGCCUUCUGUAGUUGUCCACCUUGGACUUGCCCUAUUUCUGGGAAUGCUUCUUGUCUUCUGACGUUAGCAUUCUAUAGAAACAUUUUGCUUUUAGAGGAU